GAUGAACGCUGGCGGCGUGCCUAAUACAUGCAAGUCGAGCGAACGGACGAGAAGCUUGCUUCUCUGAUGUUAGCGGCGGACGGGUGAGUAACACGUGGAUAACCUACCUAUAAGACUGGGAUAACUUCGGGAAACCGGUGCUAAUACCGGAUAAUAUUUUGAACCGCAUGGUUCAAAAGUGAAAGACGGUCUUGCUGUCACUUAUAGAUGGAUCCGCGCUGCAUUAGCUAGUUGGUAAGGUAACGGCUUACCAAGGCAACGAUGCAUAGCCGACCUGAGAGGGUGAUCGGCCACACUGGAACUGAGACACGGUCCAGACUCCUACGGGAGGCAGCAGUAGGGAAUCUUGCGCAAUGGGCGAAAGCCUGACGGAGCAACGCCGCGUGGGUGAUGAAGGUCUUCGGAUCGUAAAACUCUUUUAUUAGGGAAGAACAUAUGUAGAAGUAACUGCGCACAUCUUGACGGUACCUAAUCAGAAAGCCACGGCUAACUACGUG
rnacentral:rRNA from 1 species